CAUGCAAGUCGAACGCACAGCGAAAGGUGCUUGCACCUUUCAAGUGAGUGGCGAACGGGUGAGUAACACGUGGACAACCUGCCUCAAGGCUGGGGAUAACAUUUGGAAACAGAUGCUAAUACCGAAUAAAACUUAGUGUCGCAUGACACAAAGUUAAAAGGCGCUUCGGCGUCACCUAGAGAUGGAUCCGCGGUGCAUUAGUUAGUUGGUGGGGUAAAGGCCUACCAAGACAAUGAUGCAUAGCCGAGUUGAGAGACUGAUCGGCCACAUUGGGACUGAGACACGGCCCAAACUCCUACGGGAGGCUGCAGUAGGGAAUCUUCCACAAUGGGCGAAAGCCUGAUGGAGCAACGCCGCGUGUGUGAUGAAGGCUUUCGGGUCGUAAAGCACUGUUGUAUGGGAAGAACAGCUAGAAUAGGAAAUGAUUUUAGUUUGACGGUACCAUACCAGAAAGGGACGGCUAAAUACGUGCCAGCAGCCGCGGUAAUACGUAUGUCCCGAGCGUUAUCCGGAUUUAUUGGGCGUAAAGCGAGCGCAGACGGUUUAUUAAGUCUGAUGUGAAAGCCCGGAGCUCAACUCCGGAAUGGCAUUGGAAACUGGUUAACUUGAGUGCAGUAGAGGUAAGUGGAACUCCAUGUGUAGCGGUGGAAUGCGUAGAUAUAUGGAAGAACACCAGUGGCGAAGGCGGCUUACUGGACUGCAACUGACGUUGAGGCUCGAAAGUGUGGGUAGCAAACAGGAUUAGAUACCCUGGUAGUCCACACCGUAAACGAUGAACACUAGGUGUUAGGAGGUUUCCGCCUCUUAGUGCCGAAGCUA
rnacentral:rRNA from 1 species